CGGGGAUCCGCAGCCUCCCCAUCAGAUGGACGUCCAUCCAAGCGCUCGC
ncrna:unclassified sequences chromate-resist RNA